rnacentral:rRNA from 1 species
GUGCAGCAGGCGCGAAACCUCUGCAAUAGGCGAAAGCUUGACAGGGUUACUCUGAGUGAUUUCCGUUAAGGAGAUCUUUUGGCACCUCUAAAAAUGGUGCAGGAUAAGGGGUGGGCAAGUCUGGUGUCAGCCGUCGCGGUAAUACCAGCACCCCGGGUGGUCGGGACGAUUAUUGGGCCUAAAGCAUCCGUAGCCGGUUCUACAAGUCUUCCGUUAAAUCCAACUGCUUAACAGAUGGGCCGCGGAGGAUACUAUAAGACUAGGAGGCAGGAGAGGCAAGCGGUACUCAGUGGGUAGGGGUAAAAUCCGUUGAUCCAUUGAAGACACCAGUGGCGAAGGCGGCUUGCCAGAACGCGCUCGACGGUGAGGGAUGAAAGCUGGGGGAGCAAACCGGAUUAGAUACCCCGGUAGU